UACGUAGGGGGCAAGCGUUGUCCGGAAUCAUUGGGCGUAAAGCGCGUGUAGGCGGCCAGGUAAGUCCGUUCUGAAAGCCCGGGGCUCAACCCCGGGAGGCGGAUGGAUACUGCUUGGCUCGAGUCCGGAAGAGGCGAGUGGAAUUCCCGGUGUAGCGGUGAAAUACGUAGAGAUUGGGAAGAACACCAGUGGCGAAGGCGGCUAUCUGGACGGUUUCUGACACUAAGACUCGAAAGCGUGGGGAGCAAACAGG
rnacentral:rRNA from 1 species